GAAAUCUACACUGAGAAUAUUAUAAAGACUUUUCUUCCUCUUUAUCUUAGCAAGUUAAAAGCAGUGAAUAGUGAUGAGGAAAGAAGUUUUCUAUUGCUGGAUGUUGUCAGUUUGCUCAAAGUUGACGGCUCUUCGCUUAAAACUGAAACAAUUCAGCUGGGUAUUUUAUAUGAACUUUCUGAUACUGUUUGCGGGUUUGUUGCGAAUAAGCACAUUCCUGAGCUGCGCCGCGUGGCUGUUUCGGGCCUUUUUUUGCUAAAUUCACUCACUUUAUCAAGAAAAGAAAAGGCUGCAGAGGUUUUACGCUUUAAACUUUUCAAUGUAAUUCUGGAGGCUGAUGAAUUUAUAAAAGAAGUUACUCAACAAGAACUCAAACUGAAUGUUUAUAAACUUGAACCCCUUUUUUAUGAACUAGCAUCACAUC